rnacentral:lncRNA from 1 species
UUAAAAAUCUAUUGUCUCGCCACGUGGCAAAUACUUAACUAAUAAUACCCCUCGCGACAGCUCUUCUCUAUGCUCAAAAAUGCGCCUGCGAUCCAAUAUUUAUUAUCUAUCUAUAUCCAUUUAUUGUUCCACUCCUGUGUUAAAGUCUCAGAGUCAACCGAAAAGGCAGAUUUUCCUUCAAUUCGUAGAUCCACAAAUUUACCUACUUGGAAGAUGAAGUAAUUGCAUCACGCGUUUCUAGCACUCCAUUUUUUCUACUCCCGCAUUUAAGUCUCUGAGUCAACCGAAAAGAGAUUCUCCUUCAGGUCGUAAAUUCGCAAUUUUACCUACUUGGAAGAUGAAAUAAUUGCAUCACGUAUUUCUAGCACUCCAUUUUUUCUAUUCCCGCAUUUAAGUCUUCGAGUCAACCAAAAAGAGAUUUUCCUUUGAUUCGUGGAUAGGCAAUUGUACCUAUUUGGCAGAUGAAAUAACUAUAUCGCGCGAUUCCUUCUCUCUGCUUUUUUAUACUCAUGUAUUCAGCGCAGUGCACAUUAAGAAGCUACUAACGAAGUAAUUCAACCACCUCGUCAUUGCUGCCCCUUAGAACACUUCAGUUUCCACAAAACAAUUCCAUUAACCUGUAUGAAAGACUCGUUCAAUCAUAAAUUUAUUCCACUGUUAUUAUUUGCAGAACAGAAAUGGAUUUCGUCCCUGAAUACGAACUGACGCCAGCCGUGGCGAAGGACUUCGUCGGGUUCCUGAAAUCUAGGGACCCGGCGGAGGGUCUCCAAAAUUGCGGCGCAAUAAAGCUCAAACUCCAACCCCAGGAGCUUCCACGGCUGGCGUCCAUAGAAGACCACCUGAUGGCAAUAAAAGAUACCCCCAAAUGAAACCCAUUAUGCAGAGUUUUACAGCGGCACCAGCUGAAGGUGUGUCAACCCACAAAGCCACAACAUCAAAAUCUUCCCGCUCCAUGACCGACGAUGCCAAGAUAGAGGAGAGCGCCAAGACUGAGGAUGAAUAUUGGACAUUCAUCCUCAGGAAGCCCACAGAAAAGAUACAGUACGGAGCUGAUCUCCAGGGAGGUAUAAUACCUUCCAACCUUCUCGUAAGUUCAUGAAAAUCGCCUUCUUAUGUAAAAUUCAUUACGACAUAGCAGCCAAGCUACCACAAUGUAUUAAAUUCAGAAAAGCCUAAUGGACUCGUUCACAACUUGUCGGCUCACGAUACCUAUUCUAUCUAUCGUCUGUCAACGAUAAAAUUCUGAACUCCAACACGGUGUCGUCACCCUCCAGUUUGAAACAAUCAUCUCAGCUGAGUUAAUGCUAAAUUUAACGGAGAAAUUUAAUCUUUUACAAAAGAAAUGUUCGUGUAGAUUUUUUUAACAUUCUUGAGGAAUUUGCGUUGGAUUAUGCAGAAAGUUCACUAAAAUUUACAAAAAAACCACCCCGUGUAUAACCGUUUUCAUUCCUUUCUAUAUUUUAUGUAAAAAAUAAAAUUUCCCAAUUAAAUUUUUACAAUCGUUAAUGUGGCUUAGUUAUUCUUUCUGCUUAACGCAAUUAAAAGAUAGUAAAAGUAAAGAAUAAUAUUUUCUGCCUCCUCAUAUCUGAAGGUAGUUGUCUGAAAUUACAAUAUUAGAAAGGGGGGAAAAAUUUGAUAUUCCCGCCAAUUAAGAAUGGCGGGAAUUUCACAAUUAGUGGAAAAUCGAAGUCAGCGAGAAAUGAUGAAUCUAUCGAAGGUAUUUUCUUUUGCUACAAAUUAUGCAAAAGUUCCGAAACGCUGGCCAUUCCAAUUCAAUUUAGUCUUGGCAUGAAGUUUGAAAUAAAAUUUGACUCUUUUAUUUGAUCCUCAUUAGUCUACUUGCUCCCGGCAAGAGGGAGAUUGGAUAAAUAAGAAACAGGCAUAAAAAUCUUUUCAUUAUUUUGGUCAUUCUUUUUGUCGACGCGAGCCGAAAAGGAACGCGAAGCGUCCUUUGGGGGUUAGGCCGCAUAGCGGCCAGGGGGGCAUAGCUCCUUAGUAUUGUAUGUAAAUUGCUUGAUAAAUUCGGUGGAACCGAGCGGACCGCCUUGUUCAGAGUUGAAGGUUCCAUUAGCCGCAAUGCUCUUUCAGUGGCAUGCGGUGGGUUUAGUGACAGGGUAAGCUCUAGCGUUCGCCAUACGGGGGGAGGGGGGGGGGUUUAACGUGGCCUUUUUUCCCUCCUCAGGGAUCCUCCCUAGAAAAUUCUUUAAAUUAUACUCUAUUAGCUCCAUUUUUCGAAUGAAAUCUGAUGGAACGUCUUGAAAAACUGUGAUUUUAUUUUUUUCCCUCUUACUGAUGAUUUCGUUUACUCACCUUGUUUCGAAUGUUUUUGAGCAUUGGAGGACGGCUCCAUGUUCUCAACUCCUAAUUUUGCCACUUAUUUGAGUUAUUAUAGUCUUUCUUUUGCAGCAUUUAGAAUUUUUUGAGUUUCUUAAAUUUCCCCCCCAAAAAAACCAGCUCUCAGCAUUUAAAACAUGAUUGAGGAUUAUCUAAUUCAUCACCAAAUAGAUCCAAGUGAGCGACAUUUUUUAGAAUUUAAGGGCAUCUGCCCCGAAGGAGUAAUUAUAACCGUGACGGAAAGAAGGAAGAAGAUAGCGCAUCGGAGCCAGAAGCAGCGCGCUGCGGUGACGGACCACGGACUCGGAACGUACCGCUCUCCCUGCCCGCCUUAAUUCCAUACGUAUUUCUGUCUCUUUCUUUCUGUUUUUAAUGCAAUUUACUUUUCAGCCAACCGAUUCCGGUGUACGAGUGUAAUGCCGUAAUCACACGCUAAAUGU